AGGGGUCUCUGUUGCAAUCAAAAACACAGUGGCUUUCACCCUGAAAGAGGAGGUCUCAUACACGCAAGGCAGUGACUCAGGAACUGCCGCUCCUCUCACGGGACCAUCCCAUCUCUAGUUUUGAGUAAUAAAUAAUCUGCUACUGUGGACAACAAGC